rnacentral:rRNA from 1 species
CUUGGCGACCAUAGCGUUUUGGACCCACCUGACUCAAUCCGAACUCAGAAGUGAAACAAAAAAGCGCCGAUGGUAGUGUGGGGUUCCCCCAUGGGA